rfam:Loxodonta africana unplaced genomic scaffold scaffold_34, whole genome shotgun sequence.
GGAGGUAUAGCUCAAUGGUAGAGCAUUUGGUUGCAGAUCAAGAGGUCCCUGGUUCAAACCCAGGCACCCCCU